rnacentral:rRNA from 1 species
GAUGAACGCUGGCGGCGUGCCUAAUACAUGCAAGUCGAGCGAACAGACGAGGAGCUUGCUCCUCUGACGUUAGCGGCGGACGGGUGAGUAACACGUGGAUAACCUACCUAUAAGACUGGGAUAACUUCGGGAAACCGGAGCUAAUACCGGAUAAUAUAUUGAACCGCAUGGUUCAAUAGUGAAAGACGGUUUUGCUGUCACUUAUAGAUGGAUCCGCGCCGCAUUAGCUAGUUGGUAAGGGAACGGCUUACCAAGGCAACGAUGCGUAGCCGACCUGAGAGGAUGAUCGGCCACACUGGAACUGAGACACGGCCCAGACUCCUACGGGAGGCAGCAGUAGGGAAUCUUCCGCAAUGGGCGAAAGCCUGACGGAGCAACGCCGCGUGAGUGAUGAAGGUCUUCGGAUCGUAAAACUCUGUUAUUAGGGAAGAACAAAUGUGUAAGUAACUAUGCACGUCUUGACGGUACCUAAUCAGAAAGCCACGGCUAACUACGU